AUAGACGCAUCAACAGCUGUUUCGCUAUGACGGGGUGUUGUGCGCUGCACUGUCACAACCGCAGCGAAAAUGGUAAGGCAUUUUUUGCGGUACCACGCGCGAAAUCUGCUGUACAAGUACGCCGCCGACUCCAGUGGCUGCUGCGUAUGGGCCGUGACAAGCCGCCUCCAAAUAGAGCUAGGAUAUGCGAGGAUGAAUUCACUCAUGACCAGUUUGAAGAAGACAGUCUAGCAGGGAGGAAGCGACUAAAGCCAGCUGCAGUUCCAAGCAUUUUCUGUGCUGACCAGUGCGCCGUAGUAUCUGCAGCUGGUGGAUCGUCAUGGACACCUGCCUGUGGUGAGACAGCAGAGUUAUCGCCAUUAAUGCUUGGUAAGCAUCUACUAAAGUUUAUCAUUUGUCAAGAUUACUGUUAUGCAUGAGUACUGGCCUUGGACCUUCAUAUCGGCUUUACAUUUCCCCGUCUUGAAGACAUGAAGAUACAGCAGAAAGUGGAUGCACCUGAAUUAUC
rnacentral:lncRNA from 1 species